GGCCAUGGAGUCCUACGACAACAUCGCCAACCAGCCGGUAGUCAUCGACAAUGGUUCAGGGGUGAUCAAGGCUGGUUUUGCAGGAGACCAGAUUCCUAAGUACUGUUUCCCAAACUAUGUUGGACGGCCCAAGCACAUGCGGGUUAUGGCUGGAGCCCUGGAGGGGGACCUCUUCAUUGGACCGAAAGCAAAGGAGCACCGGGGGCUACUGACCAUCCGCUACCCCAUGGAGCAUGGCGUGGUACGAGACUGGAAUGACAUGGAGCGUAUCUGGCAGUACGUCUACUCUAAGGACCAGCUGCAGACCUUCUCCGAGGAGCACCCUGUUCUUCUAACGGAGGCCCCACUGAACCCCAGUAAGAACCGGGAGAAGGCGGCAGAGGUGUUCUUUGAGACCUUCAAUGUUCCUGCACUGUUUAUCUCCAUGCAGGCCGUGCUCAGCCUGUAUGCAACAGGACGCACAACAGGAGUGGUUUUAGACUCAGGAGACGGGGUCACUCAAGCUGUCCCCAUCUAUGAGGGCUUUGCCAUGCCACACUCCAUCAUACGGGUAGACAUUGCGGGCCGUGACGUCUCUCGAUAUUUGAGGCUGCUGUUGCGCAAGGAAGGGGCUGACUUCUACACCUCGGCUGAGUUUGAGGUUGUCCGGACCAUCAAAGAGCGAGCCUGCUACCUGUCCAUCAACCCACAAAAGGAGGAGGCUUUAGAGACCAAGAAGGUGCAGUACACCCUUCCAGACGGCAGCACAAUUGAUGUGGGGCCUGCAUGCUUCCGGGCCCCUGAGCUGCUGUUCCAACCAGACCUGUUGGGGGAUGAGAGUGAGGGGCUCCAUGAAGUACUGGCCUUCGCCAUCCACAAGUCUGACAUGGACCUUCGACGGACACUCUUCUCCAAUAUUAUGCUCUCAGGGGGUUCAACACUCUUUAAAGGCUUUGGAGACAGGUUACUAAGUGAGGUAAAGAAGCUCGCUCCAAAGGACGUUAAAAUCAAGAUCUCAGCUCCUCAGGAACGGCUAUACUCCACAUGGAUUGGCGGCUCCAUCCUUGCCUCCCUGGACACCUUCAAGAAGAUGAACCGCCCCUUAUACACGUCAAAGUCACAGUCACGUUCUUUAAAACAAAGGCCUCCAUAGCCCCCAUACACCUCUGACAGGGAUGGCCUGCUAAGAGCUAGCCUGCUGGAUUGGAAAAGAGCUACAGCUGAGGGAAGCAGCUAGACUAAGCCUUGAGUUGUACAGAAAAGGCCUCAAGUGGCCAAUCAAUGCCUGAGCACCUGGAAGCAGAGAUGGUCACUUACAGCAAAGAGUGGAAACGACACCUUACACUUCACCUUCCAAACAGGUCAGUAAGAUAGGGGAAGGGCCUUUCUCUUAAGGCUUUCCAUCCCUGAAUUCAAAUUUUAACAUAAAAUGAAAAGAUAUUGCCAUUUUACAGAAAUUUGUUUUGAGAAUUUCACCAACAACGUAUCAUGAACAUGAUGGCUGAGGGGAGCUGUUGCCCUCCUCCCCAAUUUAUAUUUCCAUGGGUACUUCUGAAGAAGAGAAACUCCUCACAUAUGAAAAUUUAGUAAAUACCUAAAUAUCAAUAUUGAGUUCAAAUUAUUGUUAUUUUGAGUCAAGUUCUAUGUUGCCCAGACUCAGGUGAUCCUCUCACUGCAAAUUCUCAAAUAAAUGGGAUUAUAAAUGGCA